GUGCCAGCAGCCGCGGUAAUACGUAGGGGGCGAGCGUUGUCCGAAGUUACUGGGCGUAAAGCGCGCGUAGGCGGGGGAUUAAGUGAGAGGUGAAAGGCUGGGGCUCAACCUCAUGCAGUGCCUCUCAUACUGGUCUUCUUGAGGGCGGUAGGGAGAAGUGGAAUGGCUGGUGUAGCGGUGAAAUGCGUAGAUAUCAGUCGGAACACCGGUGGCGAAGGCGGCUUCUUGGGCCGUUCCUGACGCUGAGGCGCGAAAGCUGGGGGAGCGAACGGGAUUAGAAACCCUCGUAGUCC
rnacentral:rRNA from 1 species